UCACCUCCAAACAUCUCCAAAGUACCUCCCUAGGGACUUUAUCGUAUGCCUUCUCCAAGUCGAUAAACACCAUGUGCAAGUCCUUCUUUCUUUUCCUAUACUGCUCCACCAGUCUCCGCAUCAGAUGAAUUUCCUCCAUCGUCAAGCGUCCGGGCAUAAAUCCAAACUGAUUCUUCAAAAUAGACAUUAUCUUCCUCAACCUUCGCUCGAUC
rnacentral:lncRNA from 1 species